GCUUCCUGGCGAUGGCAAAUUCCAACCGUCUGAUCUGGCUCAAAUUAUUACGAUCAUCCCUACACUUGUGUGCACAAGAAACAUCGCUUUACCGUCAGAUUUGACUCAAUUUGGCUGGCUGUUGCGACUUGCGACCAAAUUUGAAUUCCUAAAAAACGUUGAGAAAUCCAUGGAGGCCGGGAAGAGGAAGAGAGCAGGUAAUGAAGAGGAGGGAAGAGAAGCUCGUUACCGGGGAGUUCGGCGGCGGCCAUGGGGGUAGUUUACGGCGGAGAUACGUGACCCUUCAAGAAAUGGGGCUCGCCAGUGUGUGGGAACAUUUGAUACAGCGGAAGAGGCGGCAAGAGCUUAUGACCGAGCUGCUUUUGCUUCCCGUGGCCAUCAAGCUAUCCUCAACUUCCCAAAUGAGUGCCAAAAUCAUCAUCAAAACUCGAGCUCUUCGUCGGCAUCUAUGAAAUCCUUAUCGUUGUCUUCCUCCUCUUCAGGUGCUCCUGGCCGGAGUAGUUGUUUGUCGAGUGGACAAGAAGGGGAAGAUAAGUAAGAUGACUCUUUUCAUAAUCGUCUUCCUAGCUGGGAUUCCAAUUGGGGUUGCAACGUAUAACGGCCCAAAGUUUUGGCUCAUUGAUGAGGAUUACUGGGUUUAUGUCUAUUUUGAAUGAUAAUAUUUCAUAGCCAGGGACCUUUUCUUUUUGAUUUUGUAUAGCUUAAAACACUGUAGGCCGGAUUUUUAAAGCGGAUGGCGAUGUCCUCCCUAUAACAAUAGAUCUUCAUAGACCGGACCAACUUUUGAUAUAUUGUACAAUGUUUUCUUUUGUUGAUCCCUGGUAUUGUUUUGUACUAACCUAAAAUAUAUAUAUAAAAGUAUGAAGUAAAUUCUCUUA